rnacentral:rRNA from 1 species
UACGGAGGGGGCUAGCGUUGUUCGGAAUUACUGGGCGUAAAGCGUACGUAGGCGGCCAGAUAAGUCCGGUGUGAAAGUCACAGGCUCAACCUGUGAAUGCCGCUGGAAACUGUCUGGCUAGAGUCCGGGAGGGGCGAGUGGAAUUCCUGGUGUAGCGGUGAAAUGCGCAGAUAUCAGGAGGAACACCGGUGGCGAAGGCGGCUUUCUGGGCCUUACCUGACGCUGAGGAGCGAAAGCUGGGGGAGCAAACAGG